UACGAAGGGGGCUAGCGUUGCUCGGAAUUACUGGGCGUAAAGCGCACGUAGGCGGUCUUUUAAGUCAGAGGUGAAAUCCUGGAGCUCAACUCCAGAACUGCCUUUGAUACUGGAGAGCUUGAGUCCGGGAGAGGUGAGUGGAACUGCGAGUGUAGAGGUGAAAUUCGUAGAUAUUCGCAAGAACACCAGUGGCGAAGGCGGCUCACUGGCCCGGUACUGACGCUGAGGUGCGAAAGCGUGGGGAGCAAACAGG
rnacentral:rRNA from 1 species